CCUACGGGAGGCAGCAGUGAGGAAUAUUGGUCAAUGGGCGGAAGCCUGAACCAGCCAAGUAGCGUGCAUGAUGACGGCCCUACGGGUUGUAAACUGCUUUUAUACGGGAAUAACGCGCCUUACGUGUAGGGCUUUGCAUGUACCGUAUGAAUAAGGACCGGCUAAUUCCGUGCCAGCCGCCGCGGUGAUACGGUAGGUCCGGGCGUUAUCCGGAUUGAUUGGGUUUAAAGGGAGCGUAGGCCGCAUGUCAAGCGUGCUGUGAAAUGUCCGGGCUCAACCCGGGCAUUGCAGCGCGAACUGGCGUGCUUGAGUCCGCGGAAGGCAGGCGGAAGUCGUGGUGUAGCGGUGAAAUGCUUAGAUAUGACGAAGAACCCCGAUUGCGAAGGCAGCUUGCUGCAGCGGAACUGACGCUGAUGCUCGAAAGCGCGGGUAUCGAACAGGAUUAGAUACCCGGGUAGUC
rnacentral:rRNA from 1 species